rnacentral:lncRNA from 1 species
UUCUUCACUAGAAGAAACAGAUCCUGCUGAAUGAAAGCACAUAAUGGAGCCCUAGGGGUGAUCUGAGAAACAACUAUAAUUAUCUCUUCUCUGCUUACUGCCAUACUUAGGAAGGAGUCUUUGGACUAGGCAGAAAGUGAUCAAUUUCCUCUCAUAUUACCCUCAACCUGCGGCCUAUUUGUACUCCUGAUUGGAUAAAAGGGUUAAGAAGAACAAAAUGGUUGGAGAGAUUUUUGAAUUUUUAUGAUAAUUAUUUGGUGUCCCAGGAUCUACUGAAUGUCUCAAGAGAGGAACUUUUUUCCACUUCACAAAUUCUAAUUUUUGACUUGAUAAAGAAUGAUGAAUAUUUGUCACACAGAUAUUUAAAUGGAAUCAGGGCUGUAUAUAACCAUGACAUAAUACUUUGUCAAAAAGUGAAAAGUUAAUCUGGUUGGUCAUCAGUUUCAGAAGGGAGGAUUUUAAAUGGCUUAAAAAUAAUGUAGUCACAUGACUUAAAUUCAAAAGAAGGUAUUUUUACCUGGCAUAUGGAGAAGAUGAUGACAAUAAUGUGGAACUUGAUUAGACAUCAACAGAGACUCAAUGCCUCCUGGAAAACACCUGAGAAAUGAUUGAAGCUCGCUCUGGUCUUGCCUGGAAUCAUGCAUAACAUUUGUUGCUGCCUGCAUGUGGAUUCAUUUUAGCAGUUUAUCAAUUUGGACAGGGAAUUUUGAAUAAAAAAUUUUGGCAGUCAUUAUAGUGACUCUUCUGAGACUGAAAAUUCAGGUAACAAGGAAAAUCAGUGACUCUUUCUCUCUGCUUUCUUCAAAACACAAAUAAUCCAAUGAUGUAUAGGCUGCAUUGCCCUUUGAUUUGUUACCUUAGAGAUCAUUACAUGUUAGUACAUAAAGAAACUUCCCAAUCUUCUUUUAUAGCAUCCAGGUACUCCAAUGUGUA